CGCAUCUGUGCAUGCAGCAUAUCAAUAAGCGGAGGAAAAGAGGGCCAUUACCUACGCUUAGGAUGUUGAAGAUGUAGCACAUCAUACACGCAUGACACGCUGCAUAUCAAUAAGCGGAGGAAAAGAGGGCUAUUACCUACGCUUAGGAUGUUGAAGAUGUAGCACAUCAUACCCGCAUCUGUGCAUGCAGCAUAUCAAUAAGCGGAGGAAAAGAAACUAACAAGGAUUCCCCUAGUAACGGCGAGUGAAGCGGGAAGAGCUCAAAUUUGAAAUCUUAAAGGGUUUCCCUUUACGAAUUGUAGUUUAAAGAAGUGUUUUCUGUUGAGGUUUUGGUAAAAGUUCUUUGGAAUAGGACAUCAUAGAGGGUGAGAAUCCCGUAUUUGACCUUUACUUUCAACUUUGUGAUACACUUUCAAAGAGUCGGAUUGUUUGGGAAUGCAGUCCAAAAUGGGUGGUAAAUUUCAUCUAAAGCUAAAUAUUGGCGAGAGACCGAUAGCGAACAAGUACCGUGAGGGAAAGAUGAAAAGAACUUUGAAAAGAGAGUUAAACAGUACGUGAAAUUGUCAAAAGGGAAGCGUUUGACACCAGUGUUGUUUUUCUGAAAAUCAAUUAAAGAACUGUUUAUGCUAAGUUGUUUAGACUUCUAUCAGCUAACUGUUUAGUUUUGAGCUUUUCUUUAAUGCACUUUUCAGUUAACAAGGUCAACAUCAAUUUCUUUUGCUGUAAAAAAGCUUGAGGAAGGUGGCUUGAGAUUCGUCUUAAGUGUUUAUAGCCUCUUGCCUAUGCAGUCGGAGAGAUUGAGGUCUGCAGCGUAGAUCCUUCGGGGCUAAAUGCAUUUGUGCUAAGUUAUAGCAUUUUAUAGACAACUUGUUGACUAUGAUUUGUCUUGUAGCUUACUCGCUUAUGUUAUUUUACCUACGCUUAGGAUGUUGAAGAUGUAGCACAUAU
rnacentral:rRNA from 1 species